GGCUGCCCUCGGUAGCAGUAGCAACCGACUGCGGUCCCCUUUCACGUUGUGGGGCCAGUGUUCUUUUGCUAUUUGCAGUAAACCUUGCCGCUGGUCACUUUGGGUCCACACUGCGUUUAUGAGGUGUAACACUCACUGUGAAGGUCUGCAGCUUCACUCCUGAAGCCAGGGAGAGCACGAACCCACCAUGGGGGAACAAACAACUCCAGACGUGCUGCCUUAAGAGCUGUAACACUCGCCGUAAAGGUUUGCAGGUUCACUCCUGAGCCAGCGAGACCAUGAACCCCCCAGAAGGAAGAAACUCGGAGCACAUCCGAACAUCAGAAGGAGCAAACGCCAGACACGCUGCGUUUAAGAACAGCAACACUCACCACGAGAGUCUGCGGCUUCAUUCUUGAAGUCAGUGAGACCAAGAACCCACCAAUUCCAGACACAAUAUCUUACUAGAGAAGUUUUAAUUUUGCUUUUUUUCAGAUAUCUCAGGGAUUCACUGCUCUGGAAUCAAUGUUUACAUUAAUUUUUUGGCUUAAUAACUCCUGCACCUGUGAGCAAUGAAAAUUUGCACUGCCUGUUGGUACAUGGUUUAUAGGCUUGGGAUUUGGAUUUUUUUUUUAACUGUAGACUUUUAUCUUUCUAUUCAGACCCCAUAAUAGAGAUAAACGUUCUGUGCCUUACCAUUUACUUUUCUCAGCCUGUGGCAAGAAGUUUGAAGUUUGUUGGGACACCUUUUCAUCAAGGAGAACUUGGCAGAAUCUAGUGCUGGUCCUGGAGCUAAGUCUUGAGAAGACCUGGAGGCUUCCACUUCUGCGCUUUUGGAAAUUCUGAGCUUCCGUGUUAGAAGAGUUGCUACCCUUCUGGAGAUACUACAUGGAAAGACCUCAUGAAGAGGCCAUAUGGAAAGGGAGAAGCCUUGUCCAACCAUCUCCACCAAGGUCCCAGGCAUAUGAGAGAGCCAACUUGGACAGUCUGGUCCUGUUGAGCCCCCAGAUGCCCACAGUCUCAGUUGACAACAUGUGGAGCAGAAGAACUGCCCAGAUGAGCCCAGCCAACCCAGUGAAUCAUGAGAAUAAGGAAAUGGUUUUUGCUUAAAGCUUUUGCUUUGAAGUGGUUCCUUAUGCAGCAGUAGAUAUCUGAAACAGGGGGCAUUGAUUAGGUAUGUGGUCUUCUUUAAUUAUUCAUUUCACUGAACUCCACUUCCAGGCAUUUAGUAUAUUCUUCUGUGGGUUGAUAUUAGCUAUUGAAUGCAAAACCCCUCUAGUUCACAAUCAGCACAAGUCUUUGAUUUUUUUUUUUGAAAGGUGAACUCAUUUGACGGCCCUUAUCAAUAUUUGAAGCCCAGAAAAGCACAUACAUAACAAAACCAGAGCUUCAGGCUAUAAAUGGAAUUGGCUCGAUUCUUCUUGCUCUUUUCUGCAUCUUGCUCUUUUCUGCAUCAGCCUUAGCAUGGCACCAUUAGUGAUCCAUGAGAUAGCUGUUUAGGGCCCUGAAAUAGAUUGAUCUGAAGUUCCCUUGGCAAGGAAUAAAGACAAUAAUAGGUAGAAGGUUGAAGAAGUUUUAAUUUAGAGAAAUUUUACGAAGUAAGAAGGAAAAUAAAAGAAAGCCACCAAAUUGAAUAAUUUCCAUCGUGUUUAAAGAUGCUAAUUCAACCCACUGGCACCAGGGAAUGAAUCUUAUCUUGUGUUGACAUUCCUCCUUACAUAAAGUAGAUUUGUCACUGGGAAGCAGCUGUCUGGCCAGGAACUGUGUCUCCCAGCACCCUCUGCAUCUAGGUGUGGACAUAUGACUAGUACUUACCAAUGGAAUGUCAGCGGAAGUGACGUGUCACAAUGAGCCAUGGCUUUUAAGAAGUCAUUAUUUCUUUUCCAUGUUCCCUUUCCCAUUACGCUGGCUGGAUAUAAGUGACAUCAAGGCCCUAGGGGAUGGCAGAACUCCCAGAUGGAAGAAAGCUGGAUGUCUGAGUCAUGGCAAGGAGAGCCAUUCACCAACUAGGAAACCACGUAGAAAUAUUCCACAGGAGAAAUAAACUUUUGUUGUAUUUGAGCAUUUCAAAA